AGUAAAGAGAUAGUAACUACUCUUCUUUCCCUUCUAAGAAAAAACCUUUCUUUGUCUUGUAAUGCAUAUCUAUCUUCGCGGCUUCGUAGUCCCUUUGCACGAUUGAAUUAAUAUUAUUAACCUAAUUCAGUAGUAAUAAGAUUGGUAACCAAAACAAUCAACAUUGUACAGGUGAAUUUUAUAAACUAUAAGCCAACUGACUGUCCUAUUUGAUACGUAAUUGCAAAAUCGGUUCGUGCGAUAGAAAUUUCUAAUUCAGAACCCGGUACAUAUCAAUGCAAUUGGUGACUUAUGGUAUAGAAGCAUCGAAAAAGGUUAUUCUCUCGAAAGGAACAUUGAAUCAGUAUUUACAACAUUAUUUGGCGAUAAUUCGAUGAGGAAUAAAUUAUUGCGACAUCCGGCCACUUAUGAUAGCGAAGUUAAAAAUGAACUUGGUAAGAAAAUAUACAUGCAUUAUAUAAAUAUUACAGUCUCUUUGCAAUGAGAAUGUACAAUUUGGAAAGUCUACAUGAUCUAGUAUGUACAGGAUGAUUUUUGGUUAUUUUAGCUGUAUGUCCAAGGCACUCGAGAUGUUCUUGAAAGCUUAUAAUUAAAGGGUCUACUAUCAUAGAAGAUAUUGAGCAUUGAGCCCAGAAGAAGCGAAGAAAUCGUGCUCAGUUUUGGUGACUAAUUUUAUUACCGAUAAACAAUAAAAAGGAAUGCACAGCUACUAUAUCUUUUUAGUAGAAUCUUUGAAGACUGUAGAAAAAGAAGAUUAUUUUGAAUAGCGAAGAAAGCCUAAUUUCUUGAUUAAUUGCGGAUAAGAUAACAUUUUAUGCUUGGAUUCUGGAUCACUUUGGACCUUCUUACAAAGAGAAAGAUAUUAUACUAUAUUCUUCAUUAUCAAAUAUGGAUCUUGAAAUUUAGUGAUAUUAUACUUGUCACCUAAUUUAAAUUGCUUAAUAACCAAUAAUACUAAUAAAUCAAGUUCUUAACAGAAACUUGAAAAGAUAUAAUUAUACGGAAUAAAGAAAGUCA